rnacentral:lncRNA from 1 species
AUGCCUCUACAGCGCGUGGGGGCGGAGGAGAAGCGCUCCGGGAAAAGACUAAGAGUCGUUUGGAUCCAGAAAGUCAUCAGGAUGACAACUACCACAACUUACCCCUUCCCUUGUGAACAGGUCUGGGAAGAACCUACAACCCUUUCAAAGAAAUGGAGCUGCAGGAUCAGGAUGAACUUAUCAGAUAAAGAUCGGAUAUAUGACUCCUUUCACAGAAAGAAGCAAGAGCUGGAAGAACUGGGUGAGAAGGAUGAGUCUGAACUAGAUAUUUAUCCAAGUCAUCUGGGAAGAGAAGAAAGUGUCCUGGAAGAAAGUGCCAAUGACCAGGAAACAGUGUGUGAAGAGGAAAGCACAAAAAGUGUGUGUUCCAGUGCUGUUACAAAGAAGAAGAGGAAAAAAAAGAGGUUAGAAAUGAGCUCUAAAAGGGCUUGUGACGUCUGGCUGGGGUUGGGAGAAGACAAUUCCAAUGCUCUUGGAAACAGAUGA